rnacentral:rRNA from 1 species
UACGAAGGGGGCUAGCGUUGCUCGGAAUCACUGGGCGUAAAGGGUGCGUAGGCGGGUCUUUUAAGUCAGGGGUGAAAUCCUGGAGCUCAACUCCAGAACUGCCUUUGAUACUGAGAUCUUGAGUUCGGGAGAGGUGAGUGGAACUGCGAGUGUAGAGGUGAAAUUCGUAGAUAUUGGAAGAACACCAGUGGCGAAGGCGGCUCACUGGCCCGGUACUGACGCUGAGGUGCGAAAGCGUGGGGAGCAAACAGG